rnacentral:snRNA from 1 species
UUUCAAUAGUAAUGAAAAUAUCU